GAUUGCCUUGAGCUGAGAGGGAGAGUAUUUUAGGUGCUGCCUGUGAGCUCAUAAAUUUCUUGCCAGCGGGCCUUGGCUGAGCAGGUGAAGGAGCUUGUAAAACGGGGCAAGACUUCAGCUGAGAGUUGGUGCAGGACAGACUGUUUUAUUCAAUUGAGCAUGCAAGGUAUGAGCAGGGGCUGGCUGAGGGGUGGACUUGUCUUUGGGGUGGGGGUGGAGAGCAGCUCAGAGACCAGGGGUGGCUGCGGUGGCUUCCUGGAGGAUUCCCAAGGAGAGGAGAGGAGAGGAGAGGAGAGGAGAGGAGAGGAGAGGAGAGGAAAGGAAAGGAAAGGAAAGGAAAGGAGAGGAGUGGAGGCUGAGGGAACAUUCCACAAGGGAGGGUAUUCUAAAAAGGGUGAGAGGCUGCCAGCGCUGCAGGCAAGGGUGACAUAACUGGGUUUCUGAGCGCCACAGGGGUGCCACAAAAAGAAUGUUAGUCAAGGGAGCUGUGGACUCGAAAAGACUGAAAACCUCUGCCAUAAAACCAUCCUCAUCCGAGGAUGAAAGAGAGAGAAAAAGCUGGGAGGGAUCUGUGAACUUAAAUCAUCCCUUGAGCUGGAGAAAAUGAAAGGAAAGCCUCUGGAGAAGAGGAGGGCCGCAAGUGGCCAGGGGAGGGUUGGCAAUGUCUUACCCUUUCCCCUAACAGAUGCCUUCUGCUUGAUUCAGCCUCCCUUUGUCUGGCUUCUCCUAGCAUGCUGGUGUGCUGUUGCUGUCUCCAAGACUUGAUCAACAUUUUUCUUCUUCUGUUUAGCCAUGGAAGACUUCUCAGGGACAGUGGGGCCCAUGAAUAACUGGACCUGCUGGACUUCCAUCAUGCUGGUAAAGGGCUUAGACCAUGUAGGCCAGGAAGACAACAGAUAGAAUUAUGUAUAUUAGAAGGGAAAAGGGAGCUCAGAAGACUGUGAGCGACAAACCCUGAGGCUGUGGGACUGAGAAAAAUAGAACGCCGGAGUGACUGGUGAGGCCAUAGACAGGGCAAAGGAGCUUCCCUUUUCCUAUUCCUUUAAAACAGGGGUCAGCAACCUUUUUCAGCCUUGGGCUGGUCCACCGUCCCUCAGACCAUGUGGUGGGCUGGACUAUAUUUUGAAGGGGAAAAAAUGAACGAAUUCCUAUGCCCCACAAAUAACCCAGAGAUGCAUUUUAAAUAAAAGGACACAUUCUACUCAUGUAAAAACAUGCUGAUUCCCAGACCGUCUGGGGGCCGGAUUGAGAAGGCGAUUGGGCCGCAUGUGGCCUACAGGCCUUAGGUUGCCUACCCCUGCUUUAAAGGUUCAAAUGCUUCUUCCUCUCUUUCUUGCCCAACAGAACAGGCAAAAAAACAACCACCGCCAAGCCGUGUGUGUGUGUGUGUGUGUGUGUGUGUGUGAGAGAGAGAGAGAGAGAGAGAGACAGACAAGACAGACAGACAGACAGACAGAUAGACAGACAGAGAAACCAAAAGAGUAGGGGAAAAGAACAUAGGGAAUCUGAGGCAAUUUUUUUUUGUCUUUUUCUAUUAAAAAAAAGGAAAGGAAAGGAAAGGAAAGGAAAGGAGACUAAGGGAAACUGCUAUCAGUGGAGCCAAGAAGAGAUCUGAAGAAAAAAAGUAAAUAUAGUGAAGAAAGGUAAGUAAACAUGACAGAAAAAAGGAGCAAAGCAAAGGUGAGCUGCUUGUAAGAGGAAGGAGAGAAAUACUGAUUGGGAGCGAAUCAUAUCCCUGAAGAAUUUUCCUUCUGCCUUGUUAUCAAGACAGAUACAAAGCCCAACCCACCAACACUGCAACAUUCCCCUGAAAUUUAUCAGGGACACAUUUAUUCUCCCCCCUCUCACAUAAGUUAUCAGUGCUUUUUUCUGGGGGGACACUGGCAUACACAUGCCCCUAAACAUUUUGUGAAUCUUAGUUUAGCCUUAUUGAGGGGCAGUAUUUCAAUAUGAGUAGGAAAAUGAGAGUACCCCUAAACAUUUUCUUAGACACACACACACACACACACACACACACACAAAAAGCGCUGAAUUAUCAUACUGGAUCUGGUGCCUGACCACCUGCUGGUAAUUACUAAGAUUUUCCAAAUCUUCUCAGUCUUUCUUCUUGAAAUUUGGUUUUAUAGUGUAUGGCAUACAAAGCUAAGGGCUUGUUUGUCUACUUUAAAUGCAGCAGAGCAGGAUGUUCAUAAACCUGUUUACCGCCCUGCUGGAAAGACAGUGCUAACAAUAACUUAUGACUGCUGACUGUGAUCCAUGCUGUCCAGCUAUAUGCGUACCUCUGAUCCCCCUCUGUGUCCUCCCCACGAAGCAGCCAUGAAGAGCUGUCAUCAUGUCAGUGCAAUAAUUUGGCUGCUGUAGGUGCAGCUGCAGAGCUAAUGUUUGACAACUUCCUUUGGCAGCACAGCCCUGCUCUAAACAAGCUUAUUGUUUCAUCUUUUACAGAGAAGCUUUUUGCAAUUCUGAGAGAUCAGUCCUAGGGGACACAAGCUGAGCAACCCCUGCUGGAACUUUACAAACACACAGAAAGCUGUCAAACAAUUAAACCACACCUCCACUGUCAAAGGCUCAGAGCUCUCUUUUCUUUCAAGCCUACUGCUGAGAGAGCUGCUGCUUAACAAAGGUACUUCAGGGAUCUGACAAAGCGGCAACCUUCAAGCUUUGCCUGAUACAGAACAAGUGUACAUUGCUAAACGAGUUCACAUGAUACGCAGCACACCAUAAAUAUUUAUUUGCCAUGACAACUAAACUGAACCAAGGCCAGAAUCUUUAUUCAUACUCCAAAUAAGCCACUAAUCUGAAUGAACAUAAUAACAUCAACGUGCUCCCUAGUAACUACCCAAAAGCUGCCUGCUUAAAUCAGUAAUAGUUCCCACCCCAAAAGUUUACAUCUUAUAUGAGGAUGAGAAGAGGGAGCAUUAAAGCUUCCACCUUAUAUCUAACUUCCCAAGUCCCAGGUAGGUGACCAGCUGGGAAAGCCCAGGGGAUCAGAUAGACAACACCAAGCUAUACCAGCCCUAGGAGGUUGCUCCACAGCAAUCCAUCAUCCUGAGCCCAUCUCUGCCUAGCUACAUUCCUUUCCUCCUAGCAUUUAUUCAUAAGUUCUACUGUAGUCUGUGGGGCUUGCUUCCAGGUAAGGGUGCAUAGGUCUGCAGUCUAAAUCUGUAUCAAGCAUAUACAAAGUGUGAUUUGAAAAACAAAACAACAACAUCGCUCCAUCAUAACAUAAGAACAUAAGCAUUUUCUUGAUAUACCAGCCUAAGGUACAUCAGAGUUUGCGAUAGGAAUAGUGGAUGCAGUAUGAAUACAAAAUCUUCUGUUAGCAAAGCACAGGCUACAGUAGCUAUUCUUUGACUACAUGCUCAUGAUCUGUUACAAGGCAAAAGAGAGAGAAAGAUAUACCCUUCUAUAAUUCAUUGGUAAAUGUGGUAAAAUGAGAAAGGGUGACGGAGGAAUGAAGAACAAAGAAAAUUAGUUCAUUUUAUUGCUAAUUGGGGGAAAUCCUCUAGUCUUACAGCAAGUCACAUUAGUCCUGUCCCUAUCAUAGACUUCCACAGGAAACUAAUUACUGGCAGCAAUUUCCACUUAAAUUACAUAUAAGAAGCAGUUUGGAAUUUAAAAAGAAAUGGGUAGGCAUCAUGAGAAUGUUUUGCGUAAGUCUGCGAAGCCAAAAUAGCUGUCAACUCUCUUCUUACAGCACAUCUCUCACAAGCCAUGGCACAUACAUACAUACAUAAAAUGUAUGCUAAACUACAGGGUGUACGAAAGCCAAUGGUAACAGUUCCAAAGUUGUAUCACUGAACCUUUUGAAACUAUUCAUCACUGCAUCAGAUUUUAUCUUUUUUUACUUCUAAGUUGGAAAAACUGUCAUUGGAAAGUGCCCAGUAACAAAAACAAAAGCAAAAACCAUAAAUCCAGUGUAUUAUUAACAGAGUUCAUUAUUAACAGCCAAACAAAAUACAGAGAAUUUGUAAAUGGAUGGAAACAUAUGGAUUACAGAUCCUGCUGUCUGGAACGGACACUUUGCAAAACACAGUGCAACAGAUAUCUAUGGCAGAUAAAAAUGUUGUGCAUUAUUUUAAGCAGCUACAAACUACAAGCAGUGGGAAGACACAGUAUUUUAUUUUUUUCUACUUUAUUUUAUAUUGUCAUGUAGGCAAUCAAAUUCAUCUGAUGCAUGUGUCAGGUCAAGUUGUUGAAAGCUUUCACCCAGUGGAUUUGUACAUACAGUGGAACCUUGGGUUGUGAACAUGAUCCAUGCGGGAGGCACGUUUACAACCCUCAAUGUUCGCAACCUGCAGCGCCACCUCUGUGCAUGCACAGGUCACGAUUCAGCACUUCUGUGCACAUGCAAAGCGCGAUUUAGCAUUUCUGUGCAUGCGCGAACGCCAAAACCCGGAAGUAACCUGUUCCAGUACUUUCAGGUUUGGCGUGGUGCGCAACCCAAAAUCACAUAACCUGAAGCGUCUGUAACCCGAGGUACCACUCUACAUACAUUCAUGCAUCCAUACAUAAUUUUAUGUGAAUGCUGCCUUUCCAGAGUUUGAACCAUGUUCAAGGCAGCUUACAACAUGAAAAAAAUGCAUAACUACAACACAACAUAGGC
rnacentral:lncRNA from 1 species